rnacentral:rRNA from 1 species
GACGAACGCUGGCGGCGUGCUUAACACAUGCAAGUCGAACGGUAAGGCCCUUCGGGGUACACGAGUGGCGAACGGGUGAGUAACACGUGGGUGAUCUGCCCUGCACUUCGGGAUAAGCCUGGGAAACUGGGUCUAAUACCGGAUAGGACUCCUGGCUUCAUGGUUGGGGGUGGAAAGCUUUUGCGGUGUGGGAUGGGCCCGCGGCCUAUCAGCUUGUUGGUGGGGUAAUGGCCUACCAAGGCGACGACGGGUAGCCGGCCUGAGAGGGUGACCGGUCACACUGUGACUGAGAUACUGCCCAGACGCCUACGGGAGGCAGCAGUGGGGAAUAUUGCACAAUGGGCGCAAGCCUGAUGCAGCGACGCCGCGUGAGGGAUGACGGCCUUCGGGUUGUAAACCUCUUUCAGCUAUGACGAAGCGCAAGUGACGGUAGUAGCAGAAGAAGGACCGGCCAACUACGUGCCAGCCGCCGCCGUAA